AUCUGAUCGUCGCUGGCACGUGGUGGCACUGCCCGACGCCAGGGCAAGCAGCUACUGCUCCUCCACCUGCGUGCCAUGUCUGGUGUUUUUUCUCACGAAGUCCCCGUCUUCCGGUAAAUGUGGGUUAAAGAUCAGAUCAAACUCCCCAAGUCUAGUCUUAGUGUAUGGACAACUAGACCAGAUCAGGUCUCGCAGACUCGCUCCGUGGCUCGUCUUCCUCGUCGCGCUAGCGCCGCCACCGCUGCCGAGCGCCCCAGCCCCCUAGCUCGUCUUCCUCCACCGCAGGUUGAUCUCCCCUCUCUCUCCCGACCGUUUAUCCUCCCAUCGCCCCACGAACGGAUUCCGCCCUUUAGCUCCCCGUUUCAUCUUCCCCAAUUCAUAACUGAGGCGAAAAUCAAGGUGGGGCGGCCGCCCUACCUUGCCCUACCGGGUCCUCCGCCCGCCGGGCGAUGAGCAGCCUGGCGUCGGGGCUCCACCGACUGAGGCGGUCACCAUGGGAGGUGGUGUUGUCGGCGCUGGUCUCCUGCGGCCUGGUUCUCUUCUCGCAGCUCGCCGUGGCCACGGUGCCCCGCUUCUUCCCCUCCCUCUCCCUCCUCGCCAUGCUCCCCGUCGCAGGUUUGGUAUUUCUAGCGGCCAUUGUGGUGGGCAGAUUCUGGAGGAGGUUCAUUGGGGUGGCGGCGUCAGCGCCGCUGUUCGUUCUGUUCAAUGUUCUGUUUAUGUGGGGUGUCUACAUAUUCGUCAUUCGGGGAGCUUCUAACACCGAGAGAUGUACCAAUCCAGCAGGCCUAUGUGUCACGUCCGGCAGCUCACCAGACACCUCUUCUCUCCUAGACAUGUUAAUAAAUGCUGAAUGCGCGCUUCUUCUGUGGGGACUUUACAGGAUUCUUUCUGGUGAUCCUGGCAUUGUUGCAUACGAAUCUUCGUUUUUGGAAGAAGCUGGCUGCAAUGAUUUCGUUGAUGCUAUAUGCUCGAGUGAGAAACAUCCUUCUCUUUCAAGAGUGAGGCACUGCAACUCCUGCAAAGCAAAUGUUAGGGGUUAUGACCACCAUUGCCCUGCAUUUGGUAACUGCAUAGGACAGAAAAAUCAUAGGUUAUUUAUUGCCCUUUUGACAGGAUUCGUUGUCGCUGAAUCAACAUAUACAAUGUGUUCAACUAAAUAUAUAACUAGAUGCAUAAAUUCAGGAACUAUAAGAACUGAGAAUCCUUUAUCUCUAAACAUGGUGAUCGGAACGAUGCUCUUCUCUGUCCUCCAAGUGCUAUGGCAGGUUGUGUUCUUGAUAUGGCAUGUAUACGGUAUCUGCUUCAACAUCAAGACAGAUGAGUGGGUAAUGUCAAAUUUCCCAUGCUUUGGACUCUUUCUUCACCAAUUGCAGGUCGUCUUCUCGUUUGCUGUUUCUUGUAGCUAAGAGGUGAGAUUUUCCAGAUAAACUGGAAGAAAUAUCCUGAAUUCCAAAUGAAGGAAGAGCCUCAGUCAGAUUCUGAAAUCAAGUUUGUCAAUCCAUACGACAAGGGCAUGCUUUGUAAUAUUAGGGAGUUCCUGAAGCCAAAAUAAUAUAAGUUAAUCUGAGUAAGAAGAACGGACUGCCGCGAAGUCAAAACAUGGGGUAAUCUACAAUGCACCUAGACAGGAAAACACCGCCCAGGAUUACCAAAUUUCUUUUGCCUGUCACUGUAACACUUAUUUAUUAUUCGUUCGACUGUGCAUCAUUUGGACAUUGGCAGUCAUAUUGGCUGGCUUAAUGGGCAAUUAUCAUUCUUUGAAGACCCUCUUUGAGUGGAACUGUAUGCUGAUCGGUUGCUUCGCUGCAAAUUGUGAUCUUGGCACCACCUCCCAAAUAUGCUACAUCUUCUAGCUCUCUAGAAAAUGAUUAUUACAGCUCGUUUGGUAGAAAUGAAAUGAAACUUUUAAUAGCA